rnacentral:tRNA from 1 species
CGCGGCCGGGCGGGUCGGGUCGUCUUCGUUGCUGUUGAAGAUGAUCGGGGUGAUGGCCAUGGCUAUCUCCGUUCAGCGUCGAGGAUCGCGG